rnacentral:rRNA from 1 species
ACGCUCGACACCUACGGGAGUCAGCAGUGGGGAAUAUUGCACAAUGGGGGAAACCCUGAUGCAGCGACGCCGCGUGAGCGAAGAAGUAUUUCGGUAUGUAAAGCUCUAUCAGCAGGGAAGAAAAUGACGGUACCUGACUAAGAAGCCCCGGCUAACUACGUGCCAGCAGCCGCGGUAAUCUGAGCGGGCUGGCAAGGC